rnacentral:rRNA from 1 species
CGGGUGAGUAACGCGUGAGGAACCUGCCUCAAAGAGGGGGACAACAGUUGGAAACGACUGCUAAUACCGCAUAAGCCCACGGCUCGGCAUCGAGCAGAGGGAAAAGGAGCAAUCCGCUUUGAGAUGGCCUCGCGUCCGAUUAGCUAGUUGGUGAGGUAACGGCCCACCAAGGCACGAUCGGUAGCCGGACUGAGAGGUUGAACGGCCACAUUGGGACUGAGACACGGCCCAG